rnacentral:rRNA from 1 species
AGUGAACGCUGGCGGUAGGCCUAACACAUGCAAGUCGAACGGCAGCACAGUAAGAGCUUGCUCUUACGGGUGGCGAGUGGCGGACGGGUGAGGAAUACAUCGGAAUCUACUUUUUCGUGGGGGAUAACGUAGGGAAACUUACGCUAAUACCGCAUACGACCUACGGGUGAAAGCAGGGGAUCUUCGGACCUUGCGCGAUUGAAUGAGACGCUGUCGGAUUAGCUAGUUGGCGGGGUAAAGGCCCACCAAGGCGACGAGCCGUAGCGGUGCUGAGAGGGUGAUCGGUCCGACUGGAAGUGAGAGACGGUCCAGACUCCUCCGGGCGGCAGCAGUAGGGAAUCGUGCGCAAGGGGCGCCAGCCGGACGGAGCAACGCGGGGUGAGGGAUGAAGGUCUUCGGAUCGUAAACCUCUGUUAUUAGGCAAGAAAAUAGGUGUCAGUAACUGUGCCCAUCUUGACGGUACCUAAUCAGAAAUCCACGGCUCACUUCGUG